GACGAACGCUGGCGGCGUGCCUAAUACAUGCAAGUCGAACGCAGUGGGGACGGGUGAGUAACACGUGGGUAACCUCCCAUCAGAGGGGAUAACGCUUGGAAACAGGUGCUAAACCGAUACUGAUGGAUGGACCCGCGGUGCAUUAGAUAGUUGGUGAGGUAACGGCUCACCAGGGCCACGAUGAAUAGCCGACCUGAGAGGGUGAUCGCACUCACUGGGACGGAGACACGGCCCAGACGCCUCCGGGAGGCAGAAGUAGGGAAGCUUCGGAAAUGGACGAAAGUCUGACCGAGCAACGCCGCGUGAGUUAAGAAGGUUUUCGGAUCGUAAAACCCUGGUGGUAGAGAAGCGGUAUCUAACCAGAAAGCCACGGCUAACUACGUGCCAGCCGCCGCGGUAAUAC
rnacentral:rRNA from 1 species